rnacentral:rRNA from 1 species
GGAUGCGACCAUUCCAGCACUAACGCACCGGA